UUUUCCUAUAUAAUAAAUCUUUAGAUAUUUUAUUAUAGGACUGGUACAAGCACUGUUUUUGGUGUGAGAUCUAAAGUGCAAUUGACUGGGUAAGUGACUGAUUCUUCGGGACUGGGAGUAACCUGAAUAUUGCUGUGAUUCUUGGUGUAAGAGACCAUCCAUCACAAAGGUAUGCUUACCUGGGUGGCAAGACAGAUUAGAAGUACCCAAAAUGACUGUCUGUGGUUAUGCUGUUAAUAAUGCUUGAGGAGUUUACACUUGUUAAUUGGUUGGUGAAAUCUAAGUAUAGAAUUCACCACCAAUUUGGAGUUUGUGCCCUGAUUCUUAAUGGCCUGCCCUGAGUUUAGUACUCAUGCUCUUGAGUCACUGUCAAUGAGGCAGAAAGAUACAGAAAGGCUGUUCCGGAUGGCAUGAACUGCAGGGGAGAAGACUUUUGCACCAACAAUGGCAAGAUUGUGUGAAGGAACAAAGAAGAGCCCAGUGUUAGAUGAGCAGAUGGACCAGACAUGGAGGGGAGGGAGAGAGUGAAGCUAAAGGUCUAUGAGGUAGGCUAGAACAAGUCCAUGGAGGCUAUAAACAUGAUAUCAACAUCAUUAUAGCUUUGGAUUUGGGGGAAUACUAAACAUGGUGCUUAUGUCUUAAGGACCUCAUUCCCAUAUACCCACUAGAAAAUACAGUGUGCAAUGUUGUACAGUAUAUCGUGUACAGUAUAAUGUUGCUAACUCUCAUGAUUUUGCCAUAAGUCUCAUGAUAAUGAUUGUGUUCCUUAAAGCCCCGGCUCUUGGAGUCAAGUGGAGAUGUGAUGAUUUCAGCCUUCAUUCUUAAAGAAAAACAGUCCAAGAACACUUGUUUAGAGUUUGGAAAAGCAUGCGAGGAUUUCCCAGCUGCACAAAGAGUCUUUACAUGCCAAAGAAGCUUCAGAUCCAGGUUUGUCUGUUAAAACAGCAUAUGCUCACUCUCCUGAUGACUAGGUAUAAAUAUGAUGUUUUCCCUCCGUUUUUAUCCAUAUUUUAAGGCUUCUGAUCACACACACAGGUCCACAUGGAAACUCUUGCUAUUGGUAUCAAUACAAUAGAAGCUGCACACAUUAACUUUUAAAGGAACUGUUGCACUGUGUAUUGAUGCGCCAACAUAGUUUGCAAAUGGUACUGUGUUAAUAGAGCAGCUAGGAUUUGUUAUGAGGAGGUUUGAUCAUGUGAAACCCGCCAACCCAUCCCACCCCAGUCGCACUUGGUUGCCGAGAAAGUUUUGCAUUACUUAUAAGGCGCUUAUGCUGAUUUACAAAACCAUUCACAAGCCGGGCCCAAGUUACCUUUCUGAGUUAGUAACUCUUUGCUCUUCUGGUCAGCUGGGGUCAACUGAUACAGGUCUCUGUGCAUCUUCAAUACCAAAAUGUGUCACUUUGGGUGGUCGCUCUUUCAGCUAUUGUGCACGUGGAGCUCAUUGCCUAUUGACAUCAGCAAUGUCGCUACCUUCCCUGUGUUUAAAGUCUAAACUCAGGACACAUUAGUUUUCAUUGGCCAUUAGCUGGUUGUAAAUUAUUAUAAAUUUUGAAGGAUGAACUGGUUUUUCUUUUAAAUUUGUAUCAUGGCUGUGGAGUGUUUUGAAAUGCGUCUGCAUGAUAAGGCAGUCAGAAUUGUGGGUUUUUUCCCCUUUCAUUUCAUUUUUGUUUUCCAUUUACAAAUACAAUCAGCCAAAGAUACAGCAACACAGAAUGUACAGUGGAAUUAUUCAAGUACAGAUAGACUAUUUUCUCCCUAAUGUAAAAAUGUUGUAGACCUAAAAGCAGGAAGGCUCUACAAGGCAACCCUUUUGAGAAAUACAUAAAAUAAAAUGAAACAGUUACUGUUUUAAAACAAGCAUAAAAUAUUUCACCAAUUGAAAUAGCUAUCAGUCCACCCUAUACAGGACAUUUAACCUUCUUUAACACUAAAUCAAAACACGGGAACUUUAGUCUAUCAGAAAACAGCCUAUUCAUAAGAGAGGAGUUAGCAUUUUAAAUAAUUAAUUAUUGCUAUUUUAUUAUUAUUCAUUAAGUGCUGCAGGCAUGCUUGGUGUGGUACUAGACACGGAAGAUGACACAGUCCCUGCCUGUAGGAGGUUACCUGUACUGUUUAUCAACAGAUUGGUUACCGAUUGACAGAAGAAGAGAAAAAUUCCAUUUUAGAAAGACAACUGCAAUGAACCAAAUCUAACAAUAGGAAAGUGGUUUAAUAUCCCUCUGCUAGAACAAAUUCUAUCAGAUAAAAACGAUUCCAAAAAGAUCAAUCAUUAAAAGGCAUACAAAAAUAAAUCAGAGUCAUAGUAAGGAAACACAGGGAAACAUUCGCUCUCUCACUGGGAAAUACUCUCAAUAAAUGCCGCCGUCACCUCAGCUUUCAUUUAGCAACAGAAGGCCCUCCAAGAAUGUUUUGUUUUAUUCUAGUGGAAAUGAGUGAGAUGCUGUUCCUCAUUCAUGUCAUUGUGUAAAGGCAUCGCAAUAUGAUACAUGAGAUCGUGGAACUGUUCUCAUAUUAAUCCAGUAAACAAGAUGGAAGGCAUGAAUGGAUGAGUCUAACCCUGGCUUUCAUGACUUUUGGAGUAUAAGUGAAAACCUUCAUAGACUGCAUUAUUACAGUAAGUAUGUUAACUUGGUAUUAAGAGAAGAAACUACAGGGUUUUUUAAAUGGGUAGCAACUGCGCUAUGAAGUGCAAAGAGAUUAUUAGUGAGAAGAUGGAAAGAGAUGAGAAUUACAAGGACGGGUAUUUGAAUUUAGCACGGAUGGCAGCAUACAAAACAAUUAGCUAGAAGACAACUCAGCUGAGUUUAGAGCUAUAUGGGAUGAGCUUGCCAAAUUCCUAAAGAAUACAGCUGAUGUGCUAGGACACUAAUUUACUGAAUUCAGUACACAGUGUGGCAAAGGAAGGGAGGGGAAGGAUAAAUAACCAUUUAUUUGCUUUUAAUUGUUACAUAUGUUUUCUUCCCACUCCUCCUCUUUCUAUCCAAUCAGUUUUAUUUAUUUAUUUAGGUCUGAUCAAGAAGUCAAUCGAUGGCUUGCCAUUUAUGUCAACAUGGGAAGGGUCAGGCCUAAAUUCUGGGAUUGUUUUACACUUCCAAAGAUCAAAAUUCAGCCUGUGUUGCCCACUUGCUCCUUCCCAGUGAAGCUAGUGUGAUGGCACAGCUGUGAGUCAAUGCAGAAUGUACUCCAAAGUUCAAAAAUAAAGAGACUGCUUGAGAAAAUAUUGUAGUGAGUCCAGGCAUGAAUGUUAACCUAUCACAAAUUAGUUCACGUGUUAAUCAGCUGAACAAUUUUGUCCUGAUCUGUAAUUGGGGAUAGACUUGUAGUGAAGUGCAAUUGUCAGGCCUAUAGGAGAGAAAUUGACUUUUCAUGUCCUGUGUAUUUCUAUAUGUUAUCACAAAUUCUAAUAAAACGUUAUUUAAAAAUCA